rnacentral:rRNA from 1 species
CCUACGGGUGGCAGCAGUGGGGGAUAUUGCACAAUGGGGGGAACCCUGAUGCAGCGACGCCGCGUGGGUGAAGAAGUGCCUCGGCGUGUAAAGCUCUGUCAGCAGGGAAGAAAAUGACGGUACCUGAAGAAGAAGCCCCGGCUAACUACGUGCCAGCAGCCGCGGUAAUACGUAGGGGGCAAGCGUUAUCCGGAUUUACUGGGUGUAAAGGGGGCGUAGACGGCGAUGCAAGCCAGGAGUGAAAGGCCGGGGCCCAACCCCCGGACUGCUCUGGAAACUGUGUGGCUGGAGUGCAGGAGGGGCAGGUGGAAGUCCUGGUGUAGCGGUGAAAUGCGUAGAUAUCAGGAGGAACACCGGUGGCGAAGGCGGCCUACUGGACUGCAACUGACGUUGAGGCCCGAAAGCGUGGGGAGCAAACAGGAUUAGAUACCCCUGUAGUC